ACAGCUCCCAUAAGCUAGCCAACACCAAAAAACAACAAUCAAAAUUAAUAACCCCACAAACACAAAUUAGUAAACAACAAAACAUUUUUCCUCCUUAGUAUGGGCGACAGAAAAG
rnacentral:rRNA from 1 species